rnacentral:rRNA from 1 species
CCUACGGGUGGCAGCAGUGGGGAAUAUUGGGCAAUGGGCGCAAGCCUGACCCAGCAACGCCGCGUGAAGGACGAAGGCUUUCGGGUUGUAAACUUCUUUUCUGAGGGACGAAGAAAGUGACGGUACCUCAGGAAUAAGCCACGGCUAACUACGUGCCACGAGCCGCGGUAAUACGUAGGUGGCAAGCGUUAUCCGGUUUUAUUGGGAGUAACGGUCGUGGAGGCGGGAAAGCAAGUCAGAUGUGAAAACUCAGGGCUCAACCCUGAGCCUGCAUUUGAAACUGUUUUUCUUGAGUGCUGGAGAGGCAAUCGGAAUUCCGGGUGUAGCGGUGAAAUGCGUAGAUAUACGGAGGAACACCAGUGGCGAAGGCGGAUUGCUGGACAGUAACUGACGCUGAGGCGCGAAAGCGUGGGGAGCAAACAGGAUUAGAUACCCUUGUAGUC